GUGGGGAAUCUUGCGCAAUGGGCGAAAGCCUGACGCAGCCAUGCCGCGUGAAUGAUGAAGGUCUUAGGAUUGUAAAAUUCUUUCACCGGGGACGAUAAUGACGGUACCCGGAGAAGAAGCCCCGGCUAACUUCGUGCCAGCAGCCGCGGUAAUACGACGGGGGCUAGCGUUGCUCGGAAUUACCGGGCGUAAAGGGCGCGUAGGCGGAUCGUUAAGUCAGGGGUGAAAUCCCAGAGCUCAACUCUGGAACUGCCCUUGAUACUGGCGAUCUUGAGUGUGCGAGAGGUAUGUGGAACUCUGAGUGUAGAGGUGAAAUUCGUAGAUAUACGGAAGAACACCAGUGGCGAAGGCGACAUACUGGCUCAUUACUGACGCUGAGACGCGAAAGCGUGGGGAGCAAACAGGAUUAGCAACCCGUGUAGUCC
rnacentral:rRNA from 1 species